CCCAAGCACUUCAUAAGCCUCUGGUCGGCAGUCCUGGCUGCGGCUCUGUGGGCAGGGAGGGAGAACUCACCCCCGGAACAGGUGUUAUCUUUGUGAGAGAGAACCACGAGCCCUGGCAGAACAGGAGAGCUCCAAAGUCCAGGACGAUUUCCUUGAGGAACAGUGCUGUCCUGGGGCCUAGUGUUGGUGUCUGUGGCCGGCACGUUAGACAUUCAGAAGCAGUGGUGACUAGACUGGUCUUGUUAAGUGUGAGUCCGAGCUGUUGAGCCCGUGUGCAGCCUCCACUCCUGCCACGUGAUCAUUCCUUCUGCACGUCUGUCGAGUCAGCUCCGGGACUGCUGAUGGUCAAGUCUGCUUGGUGUUAACUGGCUGAGCCGUUGUGACAGCUUGGUUGUUUAGUGUCCGGCGCUUGCUUUCUGGCCCAAGACAGAUGCCAGAAACAUCCCACGUAGACGUCCGCUCUCUUGGGGCGCCCACGGCACCCGGCUAAUACGCAUGUUGCAUCUCUUAUCAUGCUGGAGUUCAUUUAUGUGCCACCACCUCCAAUGGCUGGGAACUUCUCCAGAAUGGGGAGCUGAGACAUGGAACGAUUAAGUGUCACUUUGCCCAGGCUCAGACAGCUAGGAAGUGACAACGCUGGUGUUUGGACUGAGGCAAUCCAGCUCCAGACAUUAUGUGUCAAUCACUACACUCUGCGGCCUCUAUUAUGCAAAGAAAACUUUGAAAAAAAGUUUUAAAAUAAAGUCUUCCCCAUUGUUUUUGGCAUCAGGUGUUUCAGAACAAAGUGCAGUCUGACAAUACUAUUAUAACUGGCCACUAGGGGGCGCCAAAACUCCCAUAAACCUGACAAACUACGUUAGGCGUAAAGGAUGGUUUCUGGUUUGCAUUGCUUUUAACCUGUUUUCGUUUGCUAACCCACGAAUAAACAAAAAAAUCACACAAAUAAAAUUA